UUUCCCUCCACUCCAUGGCCCCCUGGUCUUCAGUUCACAUCUCCUUCCCCUGGCCUGUGUUCUACCGGCUCCUCAAGGAAGAUGGCCCCACCAGCAGAACUUAUGGCUGCAAGCUGGACUCUGCCUACCCAGGAAUGGAGGUGGCUGUCUGCGGAUGAUGAUCCCAGGAGCCUCUUCCAGGAAGCCUUCCAGGACUGACAGUACUUUGGAGUAGAUUUGCCCUAUUUGGACCUUUUCUUGUAGCCUGACUUCCCCCAAAGCCACAGCUCCCAGGGCAGGACCCCAUUCCACCCCCUCCUCCCCAACCCCGCCACCACCACACUCCCUUCAUACUCCAGAGUGGAGCCAUGUCCCCUGUCCCCCAACUCUCCAGAGAAGGCCUGAGUCUCGCCCCUUGGACUGGGAGAAGGUGAGCAUCCCUCUGGUUUCCCCAUGGAGAAAACUCUGUGGCAGCCUGCGUCUCAUCAGAUUCAGAAGAGGCUUGUGCCGGCUGCAGCACAGCAUGCUUGUGAUCUAACAACAUCCAACACAACCGGUUAGAUGUGCAGAGGAACUUCCUGGGCCAGGAUGGGCAAAGAAGGGAAGCCACACAGAGCCUCAUGGAUGGAGGGGAAGAGAAAGGCCAGCAUUACAAAGUGGGCUGCCAGAGGCAGGAGUGGGAACAGGGUUGUGGGGAUCGGCU